rnacentral:lncRNA from 1 species
UAUAAUUACACUUUUCUGGUGACAACAAGUUACAUAAGAUAACAUAAACACUCACUCCACAUUACUGAGUUUAAAUAUCGAUAUUUUAUAUGAGAAUCGAUACUAGAGCAGGAGACGUUGGGAUCGUGAAUAUCGAUACUUUAGUAUGGAUCCGCACAUCACUACUUGUACGGCACUCAGUGGAAUAGCUCUUUCCAGGCGACGCUUCAGUAUGAACAGACUCAGCGGCGCAGCUCUUUCCAGACGACACCACAGUAUGAACAGACUCAGCGGCGCAGCUAUGUCUUUCUGGGCAGUGUGUAUGGUCUUAAGUGAGUCACAGUCUUAUGCCAAAGCUCUGAACACAUGUUUUAAAUGCUUGGAGGAGGAUUUAUUUUGCCAAAAGAUGAACCGCAUUUUUAACAAGGAAAAUGAUGAAACCUUGUGGGAAGAAAGUGGAGCAAAGCAAGGCCUGCCUAAAUGUCCCCGCACCCCUCCUCCCAUGACUGGACAGUGUGUUCCCUGUUUAGACAGUGUGUUCCCUGUUUAGAGGACCUCCAGGUCCUCAUUGUGUGUUCCAACGUGUCUGCGGAGAUCGAGCUGGACCUGGAGGCCUCUGAUGGGAACCACUUCUCCUACACUGCUGCCAGUGAGUACCACUGCGAUUGUAUAGCACCCCAUUACAAUUACAUACUGAUGAUUUCAACAGUAUGCUAUUGAUAUGUAACAUUAAGUAACAUUGACGCUAAGAUCUGAGAAGAAUGGAGAAAGGAGAAUUUGAAAUGUUAGAAAACAAUGAUGUCUAUGAUUUUAAAAACCAGCACAUUUAUUACAUAGACACAAAUCUGAAUGAAACCUAAAAUUUUCUCAGAAAAAGUGUUUGACAAGAUCUUUCUGACUAGCUUUGCCCUGUUAGGGCUCAUAGCGAUGCCUCCAUCACUAAAGACCCUCUCAAGGCUGGAGGCUGGCCUUGACAGCACCUAUCUGACCCCAAGAAACUGGACAGGGA